rnacentral:rRNA from 1 species
GAUGAACGCUGGCGGCGUGCCUAAUACAUGCAAGUCGAGCGAACAGACGAGGAGCUUGCUCCUCUGACGUUAGCGGCGGACGGGUGAGUAACACGUGGAUAACCUACCUAUCAGACUGGGAUAACUUCGGGAAACCGGAGCUAAUACCGGAUAAUAUAUUGAACCGCAUGGUUCAAUAGUGAAAGACGGUUUUGCUGUCACUUAUAGAUGGAUCCGCGCCGCAUUAGCUAGUUGGUAAGGUAACGGCUUACCAAGGCAACGAUGCGUAGCCGACCUGAGAGGGUGAUAGGCGACACUGGAACUGAGACACGGUCCAGACUCCUACGGGAGGCAGCAGUAGGGAAUCUUCCGCAAUGGGCGAAAGCCUGACGGAGCAACGCCGCGUGAGUGAUGAAGGUCUUCGGAUCGUAAAACACUGUUAUUAGGGAAGAACAAAUGUGUAAGUAACUAUGCACGUCUUGACGGUACCUAAUCAGAAAGCCACGGCUAACUACGUG